rnacentral:lncRNA from 1 species
AAGCUAAAAAUGCAGAGCUUCUUAAUUAUCUGGUAAAGCCAGUGAUUCUUCUGGGACAGAGCAGAUAGGAAAGCUGUGAUAGGAACAAAGGAAAUUCUUUCAUCUGAGUGCUGCUUGGCAGGUUGGCUUUUUCCACAAAUUGGAAGAAAUAGAAUAAAGUGAAAAGAUAACCAAAGAGAAGGUGAAGAAAGGUAAGAUAAAAGACAACAUGCAGAUGUGAAUUUAAAAAAAACCCAAACAAAUAACAACUAAUUUCUCAUCUAGUAAAAAUAAAGGCACUCAGAAGAAAUGUGAUAAAGAGCA